AAGUCGUAACAAGGUAACCGUAGGUGAACCUGCGGUUGGAUCAUUAAUAAAUUUUAGAAUGCAAUCCUGACCAUCUCGGCCAGAUUGUCCGUGCUAAAGCGUGAGGGGACUAUCUUUUCAGGCCGUGGCAUGUACAAUAGGGAGAGUAGUCGGGAUAUGUAUAUCUUAACAUUUUGUGAACUGUUUAUUGUCUCUGGUGGGUUUAUGAUUAUUUUUUAUACUUGUAUUUAAACUUUUCAGAAGUCCAUCAACCUAAUAAUUGAACUUAGUAGUAUUUAUUUGUCUUGAAUUAAAUUAUAUUUUAUACUAAUUUAAACAACUUUUGACAACGGAUCUCUAGGCUCUC
rnacentral:misc_RNA from 1 species